rnacentral:rRNA from 1 species
GCAACCUACCUUUAUCAGGGGGAUAGCCCGGAGAAAUCCGGAUUAACACCGCAUAAAAUCACAGCAUAGCAUUAUGUAGUGAUCAAAUAUUUAUAGGAUAAAGAUGGGCAUGCGUGUCAUUAGCUAGUUGGCGGGGUAACGGCCCACCAAGGCGACGAUGACUAGGGGAUCUGAGAGGAUGGCC